GAUGAACGCUGGCGGCGUGCCUAAUACAUGCAAGUCGAGCGAACGGACGAGAAGCUUGCUUUUCUGAUGUUAGCGGCGGACGGGUGAGUAACACGUGGAUAACCUACCUAUAAGACUGGGAUAACUUCGGGAAACCGGAGCUAAUACCGGAUAAUAUUUUGAACCGCAUGGUUCAAAAGUGAAAGACGGUCUUGCUGUCACUUAUAGAUGGAUCCGCGCUGCAUUAGCUAGUUGGUAAGGUAACGGCUUACCAAGGCAACGAUGCAUAGCCGACCUGAGAGGGUGAUCGGGCACACUGGAACUGAGACACGGUCCAGACUCCUAAGGGAGGCAGCAGUAGGGAAUCUUCCGCAAUGGGCGAAAGCCUGACGGAGCAACGCCGCGUGAGUGAUGAAGGUCUUCGGAUCGUAAAACUCUGUUAUUAGGGAAGAACAUAUGUGUAAGUAACUGUGCACAUCUUGACGGUACCUAAUCAGAAAGCCACGGCUAACUACGUG
rnacentral:rRNA from 1 species